CUACGGGAGGCUGCAGUGGGGAAUAUUGGACAAUGGGGGGAACCCUGAUCCAGCCAUGCCGCGUGUGUGAAGAAGGCCUUAUGGUUGUAAAGCACUUUAAGCGAGGAGGAGGCUCUCUUGGUUAAUACCCAAGAAGAGUGGACGUUACUCGCAGAAUAAGCACCGGCUAACUCUGUGCCAGCAGCCGCGGUAAUACAGAGGGUGCGAGCGUGAAUCGGAUUUACUGGGCGUAAAGCGUGCGUAGGCGGCUUUUUAAGUCGGAUGUGAAAUCCCCGAGCUUAACUUGGGAAUUGCAUUCGAUACUGGGAAGCUAGAGUAUGGGAGAGGAUGGUAGAAUUCCAGGUGUAGCGGUGAAAUGCGUAGAGAUCUGGAGGAAUACCGAUGGCGAAGGCAGCCAUCUGGCCUAAUACUGACGCUGAGGUACGAAAGCAUGGGGAGCAAACAGGAUUAGAUACCCCCGUAGUC
rnacentral:rRNA from 1 species